UACGAAGGGGGCUAGCGUUGCUCGGAAUUACUGGGCGUAAAGGGCGCGUAGGCGGCCUGUUAAGUCGAACGUGAAAUCCCCGGGCUCAACCCGGGAACUGCGUCCGAUACUGGCAGGCUUGAAUCCGGGAGAGGGAUGCGGAAUUCCAGGUGUAGCGGUGAAAUGCGUAGAUAUCAGGAGGAACACCGGUGGCGAAGGCGGAUCUCUGGGCCGUAACUGACGCUGAGGAGCGAAAGCAUGGGGAGCGAACAGG
rnacentral:rRNA from 1 species